rnacentral:tRNA from 1 species
GGGGUUGUGGCUCUGAGGUAGAGCACCCACCUAGCAUGUGUGAGGCACUGGGUUUGAUUCUCAGCAUCACAU